rnacentral:rRNA from 1 species
GACGAACGCUGGCGGCGUGCUUAACACAUGCAAGUCGAACGAAGUGGCGAACGGGUGAGAAAUACGUGUGUAACCUGCCCUCCUUAUUGGGAUAAGCCAUGGUAAAGGGGCUUAAUACCCAACAACGGGGGAUGGGCGCGCGGCCUAUCAGCUUGUUGGUGGGGUGAGGGCCUCCCAAGGUGGUGACGGGUAGCCGGCCUGAGAGGCGGACCGGGCACAUUGUGACUGAGAUGAGGCCCAGGGGCCUACGGGGGGGAGCAGUGGGGGAUAUUGAACAAUGGGCGAAAGACUGAUGCAGCGACGCCGCGUGGGGGAUGAAGGCUGUCGGGUUGUAAACCUCUGUCGCUAUCGAACGGGUAGGUGGAGAAGAAGCGCCGGCUAACUACGUGCCAGCAGCCGCGGUAAUUC